GAUUCUCGUGAACAGUCAUCUAGUGCUUUACUAAUAACCACUUUGUAUCUGGCAGGUGAGGAAGGUGAGUGGUCCUGGCCGUUCUCUGGGAACACCGAGCCUCAGGUGUGUCUUCCCCUUACCUGCCCGCCACCUCGCCUCGCCCUGCUGUCUGGCUCCCACCAGGGAGACGCAUGCCAGUCCCCGCUCAACUGCUCGCACCAGUUCACCUUCGCUCCUACCUGUCUUGGGGCAUUUUUUACAGGUGACGGCACGUAGGCCUCUGAUAUCCCCUUCACUCCUGUCCAUCCUGCAGCCUCCAGACACGUGAGUUGAUGCCUUGGGUCCAUGCCAGACUUACUUGUUGGACGCCUGUAGAUAUGAAUACUAU